AUUGCACAAAAAGCUGGGUAUAGUUCAAAUUCCUGACUGUAUAUUCUGAUUCCCCUGGGCAUUUACACUCUGCCAUCCCACACAGUUCCCCCUCCUGUGUGAGGGUCCUAUUGCAAUUCAUUAGCGUGCUUUUUUUUUUUUUUUUUUUUUUUUUUUUGCUUUUUGUUUUGGAGACGGAGUCUUGCUCUGUCCCUCAGGCUGGAGUGCAGCGGCGCCAUCUCAGCUGAAUGCAACCUCUGCCUCCUGGGUUCAAGAGAUUCUCCUGCCUCAGCCUCCCAAGUAGCUGGGAUUACAGGUGCGUGCCACCACGCCUGGCUAAUUUUUUGUAUUUUUAGUAGAGACAGGGUUUCACCGUGUUAGCCAGGAUGACCUUGAUCUUCUGACCUCGUGAUCCUCCCACCUCAGCCUCCCAAAGUGCUGGGAUUACAGGCGUGAGCCACAGCGCCCGGCCUUCAGCGUGCUUUUUUUUUUAAUGGUUUGCUAUAUUUACAUCUGGUUUCUCCUUCUGAAUGUAUUUUCCAGAGAGAAGUACUGAGAAGCUUAAAGUAUUUGAAUGGGAGGAGGAGAAGCAAACUACAGCUACUUCAGAGGAUAACACUAAACACCUAGUCCACUCUGUAUACACUAGAGGUGCUGUUAAUUUUCUUGUGGAGAAGGAACUGUCUUUAGAAAAAUAUCUCAAAAAGCCACUGAAGUAGAAAGUUUCAGCAUGCUGAAGAUGGAACUUGAGAAGAUAGAAAGUUCUGGGUCCUUAGUGGCAUGACUGAGUCGCUGGACCACUGUUGGAACCACCCUAUGUCUUAGUUUUUAAAUCUCUUUACUGUCUAAGACAUUUUUAGUGGAAGUAUUUAUCUCUGGCAUCCAAUAAGACCUUUAAGGAUUUGCAGUUUU
rnacentral:lncRNA from 1 species